GCGGGGCGGAGGCGCUUGGCCCCGCCGGGCCGCCGUCGGGGGCGGGCCCGCGCCGCAGUCAUGGCGGCGCCCGUGGUGCCGGAGAGCGACAGCAUCCGCAGGGCCGUGUCGCUGCUCAACGCCGUGGACUCCGGCCGAUUCCCGCGGCUGCUCUCCCGCCUUCUCCAGAAGCUGCACCUGAAGAACUAUUUCAGGUGGAUUAAGUAAGAGCCGGUAACUACUGGCAGAAGGUGAAUGGCGUGAGGGCGAGUGAUGCUCGUAAAUAACCCGAGGCCUCCUGGCGCCAGUGCCUCAGGGCGCUGUCAGGACACGCGAAUUCCUUGGCCUUUGGCACAAACCACGCUCCUGCCCUCGCGAGUGUUGUCCACAAAAAUCGGAUUCGUUACCUUGUAUGCAGCAAGCCAACAAUUGCACACUCGAGAGAGACACUGAUUGUUUAUUUCAGAGUUGUGCAAGGCUGGGUGCCUGGUGGAAUUUCACAAAUCAAACACACCAACUAUCAAAACUUUUUUACUAUUUAUACAUUUUAGCAAACAAAGGAAUUAGUGUUCCGUUGCCGCAAGUUACAUAGUAGUCUUAUUACUUCGUAUCCUGUCUUCUAUUGGUUAGUGAUUCCAUCGCUUCUCAUGCUAAUUAGUCCACAUGCUCAGUCUCUUGCUUUUGGAUCGGUGGGUUACUUGGGUCUGUGGCUGUGGGUCUGUGGUCGUGCUCUCCUGUUGCCAGAAUUACCUUUUACCCGGUCGGAGUGGAUUCCGCACGGUUGCUGAGUUGGCUUUGUUAGUUUCUUCCUUAUCUUUGGAGUUCUGCCAAAUGUCUUUGUGGACCCUAAAUUCUGCAUUUUUUGUAUCCACUAUCAGUGAUACAUCCUUCUUCCCAAGCUUUGUUAACCUCCCCCUAGGUCUGAGAUCCCUGAAGCAUGCGAACCCUAAACCUUAAAAACGCAAUUCUACUGCAAGUAAUUUGUUUUUCUAACACCUGGACAUCACUUAGAGCUUGUUAGCUGCUCUCUGUUUUGUGGAUUAAAUCUCCUUUCUUGAUGUUUAGGCUUCAAAAUAUACAAAGAUCAAACAUCAGAGAACAUCCUUUGUAAGGAAAAUUUUAUGUAUACCACAUUGUACAUCAUGAGCGAAACACUAAAUGCAUAUUUUUGUUUAUUUUUCUGCAUUUCUGUAUAUCCGUCAACCAAAACCACCUGUGAAACUGAGGUUAAAAAUAAAGCCCAGAACUUUUAGUGAAUAUUUUUGUCACCUUUACAGAAGAUAUUUGUAAUUGCAGAAUAAAUAAAAAAAUAAUAAAAUAAAUCAGUAGUAAGUUUCAUUGUACAGUGCCAAAAUGUCAAAUGAAGACUAGGUCUAAACUUUGCACUAAAUAUUGCAGCAGAAACUGUAAGAUAAAUCUUACACCAGAAAUAUAUUUUGUCAUUUUUGUUGUCUUUCAGUGUUAGAUUUUGUUUAUUCCCUUGUUUUGUGUCCAGAAAAAGUAGAAUAAGAAAUACAGAAUUUGUUUUCUGUACACAUGCUACAAACUAAAUGUUAAAAUAUUACAGGUUAGGAGCAACAUGGAAAAAAAUGUGAAUGUAUUAAAGGUUAUAAUUCUGAGGCUAUAAGGAUUCAUUUGAUUCAAUUGCUGAGUUUUUUUUCCUAUCAAAAUUACUAGCUUGGAUGUUGCUGUUAUUGCAGAGUUUUGUCGGUUGUUUUGCAUGGAUACUAACUCAUCGUUAAAUCCGAACUGUCACUAACUUCUUUUUUUUGUUUGGUUUGUUUGUUCUUUUUUACUACUCCAUAGCAUUUUAGUAGCUCUUCACAGUUUUAAUCAAUAUUUACAUGAGGGACGUGGUCUUUGUAAUUUAACCAACUCAAUCUCCUGAGUAGUUUGGCUGACCUUUCUAAAGUAUUGAAGUAUUUAGAGCUGGUUAAAUUGCUGGAAACUUUAAAUGAACUCACUUUCCUUAACAAAGCAGACACUCUGUGUUUCCCUCCAACA